CAGUAAAGAAAGGUUAUCUGAGAAACAAUCUUGCCCAUCAAAGUGAGUUUCAUGGCUUACCCCAUAAACCAAAAGUAAAGAAAAAAAAAUGAAGCUCUGUUUGAGUGAUUCAUGGCUGUAGAUUGAGCUCCACUAGCAUCUCACAGUGAGUAGAGAUUCAAAUGAUGCAGGGUAAAGCAAGUUAUCCUAGCAGAGAAGGUUGGAGUAGGCUAUGGAAACCUAAAGAAGAAACCCAAUUAACAGUUGGCCAACCUUAGAAGUACUCCUUGAUAUCAAAUGUAUGACAAGAGGAGGUGAAGAAAGCAGAGCCUCUUUUCAACUCAAAAUUUCAGUUACCGAUGAGCAGCAGAAAAUUCCUUCGCUUCUGAUCGUACAAGCUGGGUUAAAUUACACGCUUUGUGGGAUCAUUAGACACACCCAUAAGUUAAUUUUCGGAUUCACUGAAUCAAUCAUUGAAGUUUCAGAUAUGAGAUACCCAAUAAGUGAAAUUCGUGAUGGACAGGUUUCAACUCGUAAUCCAAAUUUCUCAACCUGGGUUAUCAUGGAGACCUCCAAAUGGGGAUUCUCAGUCUUCGUAUCCAUGGGUCCUUCACUGCAGCCUCAGCAGGGAACACCCUGGCAUAGAUGUCUGUUCUGUCAUUAUUGUUGCCAAACUCCUGUUUAAAUGGCUAUUUCAGGGAAGUGAAUGAGAAGACCACCCUUAUCCAAGACCUGCAGGAUAGCCAUGAGUGGUCUCCGAGUAGAUAGUGCUCAAGGAUAUGUCAAACUUCUGGUCUUUAUUGAUUCAACCAACGGUUGUGUUGCACUCUGGAAUUCUGUGGAUGCAAACCCAGACUGAUCUUUGUUCAGGUCUUUGUGAUUCCAAAGUUGUUGGAAGAAGGUUGGGAUGAUGUGCCAACUUUGAAGAUAAUGAAUUCGGAGGAUAUGGAUGCGAUGAACAUGACUGAACGACAGAAGGAUGCAUUGAAAAUGAGAUCAUACCUGGAUGACCGGAAGUUGAUGCAAUUCGCAGAUAAGUUGGAAACCUCUGGGAAACCAUUUUCCGAGCUUCUUCGCUUGAGUACUAUGGAUCUUUCCUCUGAAUUUGACAUGAGAAGAGCACACAUUAACUGUUUCAUAGAUAGCACAACCCCGUAUCAGGUUCCUGUAAGCACAAGAAGAAAUAGCAUACCUUCUAUGAGUGAAAGUGCUUGUGGGAGUUCACAUUAGAUUACAGAGGGACAUAACUUUAGAGGGAUUGUUGCUGUGGAGCCGGCAGAACCAAGGUUUUGUGGUUGUGUACAACCUCCACCUGUGGUUGAUGAUGUAGCUCCUUAUUCUGCUAUCAAGAACAUCUCUGUUCAAAAACUUACUCAAGACUAUAAAAUUGGGAAAGAGAAAUUAAUGAAAACAAAGGCACCACAUAUGAAGGCUUUAGAGUUGUGGCUUGAUAAACCAGUUGUAUUGGUUUGUAUUCAAAGGCCUGGGUAAUUUUCUACCUGUCUUACUUGAGAUUUUGGGACCUCAUGAAUGAUUACUCCUCUCUCACAAAUGUGAUUACAAGUGCAUCAUGUGAAGAGCUCAAGCUCACCUAAUUUAUUCAAGGAAACCCACAUUUGAUGCUCUGGGAAUCUGAGGUAAUUAUGGGACCUGCUUCAUGUUUUUGCUCUUUUGACCAACUUUUCUUGGAUCAAUUUUUUUUUUCCCCCCAAUGUUAUUGAGGUUAAAGAAUUUUGGCCUCACUAUUGGGGUGGUGUCAUAAUCCUUGACCUGAAUCUGGACUUCUUCAAAGCUCUUGGAGGUGGAAAGCUUCUUGAGGAAAAAUUCAUAACAGGAUUUGUAUUCAUUCCUCAAGCCAUUGCAAAUUACAGGCGUGCAAAAGCUACAGAGUUUGAGCCUAACUUCAAUGGGGAAGGUGAAAUUAAGGGUGGGCUAUUUAUAGUUCGAAGUGGAAAUGGUGGCAUUGCUUACCAGUUUAUUGAGAGGAAUUUUGGCGAUUGGGCACCUGUAGGAGAAGUCAUUGAUGUCUGUACUCGGUUGCAAGCACUUCAACUUCUCUAAUCCUAAUGCAGCUGGUCCCAUAUGAAUCCAAAAGCCUAAACUUUUUUUUUUUUUUUUUUUUUUUUUGCUGUUGCAGAAAAAGCCACAAGAUCAAGGAUAUUUUACUUGAAUGUGGCAAAAAAAUGACUCAGGUAUGUGCUAUUGAAUUUAUUUUUUUCAGGUAUUCCAUUAGAUAGUCCAUUGAUUCUGGUAUGUCCAAUGUUGUUAGGGUGUUUGUGUUGUGUUUAUUAUGUGUGUCAAUUGUGGACCGGAACUGAAACUGAAAGUGGCCAAUAAAAUUGGAACCGACCAAACCGUUAUUCCUUGGUUUUGUUUUGGUUUGGGCUGUUCUAGAAAUUUUCUAUCGGUCCGAUUUGGCUUGAUUUUGAACCUGUCGAUCGUUAGGUCCAAAUUUCUGUGACCCAAGAAAAUUUGCUACAAUCUCUCUGUGUCUAAUCCAGUUGAUGAGGAAAUCGUCAGCAUCGGGGACUUUAGCAUCUGUCACUGCAUCCCGGAUCUCCUGCAACACCACCGCCCGACGGCUUUCCAUUCUCUGCAGCUCAUGCACUGCUGGAUAUAUCCCUGGCAACUUAUCAUGUUGCAGCAACAAAGCCUUGAGUACCUCAUUCAUGAAUACUCUUCCCAUUGGAUGAGCUGCUGCAAUCAGUCAUCGUCCUAUUUGACUGUGCUGAUCCUCUUGACUAGGUGUGCCCGGUAGGCCAAUUGUAUCUCCAUGGUUGCUGUGGACUCUGGGGUUUACAGGGUGGUCUAGAGGUGAAAAUUGAUCGGAACAGAGAUGUAGUUGGAGGAGGACUCAACGUUUGAUUUCACAGGGAGUCAGGCAGUAAUUUCAUGCACCCCUGAGUCUUGGUGCAGGGGCCACGUGACCAGGCAGAUUUCUAUAUAUAUAUAUAUAUAUAUAUGUGUGUGUGUGUGUGUGUGUGGUAAUCGGUCCUGCUUCGUGGGGGGCAGGGCUUGGAAGGGUGGGGUGGGGGUUUGGGAUAUGAUAGUGGUGAGACCAUCAGGAGAAGGAGUGAGUGCAAUUUGCCCAUCAAAAUUACCAUGUGCUCAUUAAGGAGCAGGAGUGAGUGCAAUUUCAAUUUCGAAAUUGAAAGAGCUUCACUCCUAUUUUAGAAUUUCAUUGAAAUUUGAUUUCUAUUUCACUGAAAUAAGGUGCAAAAAUCAAACCAGGCAACUUCCGAAAUCGAAAUCACCCCAUGAAACUGAAAUAGAAAUCAUACCAAAACAGCCUUUUAAGUGUUCGACUUUCUCAUGACUAUUGGAUUUGUACUUGGUAGGACUGGUGCUUUUUCAACUAAGAUAGCCACUAAAUGGUUAGUCUGGAUCCAUUUGUGUAUUAAGGAAAUUGAGACUGAAUGGCUCCUUUUCAUUUCCUGUGACUUCACUAAAUGAUUUUGAGCCGCUGGGUUCAAGGACAAAAUAUAUCCAAGCUUCUUCUUUGUUGAAAUAGUCCUUCUCUUUUGAAGUCUGAGAAGCACUUUAUUGUAUCAGUCGCUGCGAUCUCCUUUUACUUUGUAAGGUUGGGCCGCAAUACACCUAUUUUUAAACAUGCGAAGACCAACCCUACUUCUAUUGUUAAAUCAAUCUGCAGAUGGGCUUAUUGAUCUUAAGCUCUUCCGCCAUAUUGUUCCUGUUACCCCUUACACAAUGAAUUCUCUCUGACCCUUAAAGACUAUCAGAGGUUAUCAGCUGUGGGUUGCCCUAUCCUAAAUUUUUGUGGUAGCUUUGACCCUUUGUCUGGUGAGGGAGGCUGGUGCUCAACAUUGUUAUUAAAUUCUCAAUUUGUGGUGGCGUAUAUGGAUCAUGUUGUUGUAGGGUGUCCUCAGGAUGCAGAAAUUAGGGAAUUACAACAGGGUCAGCAGGGAGCAAAGGAGCAAGGAGGCCUAGAGGUUUGGACAGACUGCCAAGACAUGGUGAUGUGGUUAACUCAUCGAUCUCUUGCAUGGUGGUCUUGGUGGCUGUUUUCUUUACUUCAUGAUGUUUCUAUUCUAUUGAAAGAUGUUGGUAAUGUUUUUAUUUUGAUAAAAAGGAUGAAUGAACUAUUUUGUAUUUCUAUUAUAUAGACUGGCUUAUAAUGCAAUGUUUUGUUUAUGUCUC